rnacentral:rRNA from 1 species
UCUGACAGUAGAGUGGCGCAAGGGUGCGUAACGCGUAAGUAACUUGCCCCAAGGUAAGGAAUAACGUCGAGAAAUCGGCGCUAAUACCUCAUAAUGCAGCGGAUCCGCAUGGAUAUGUUGUUAAAGGUUUACCGCCUUGGGAUAGGCUUGCGUCUGAUUAGUUAGUUGGUGUGGUAACGGCACACCAAGGCUACGAUCAGUAACUGGUCUGAGAGGAUGAUCAGUCACACUGGAACUGAGACACGGUCCAGACUCCUACGGGAGGCAGCAGUGAGGAAUAUUGGGCAAUGCUCGAAAGAGUGACCCAGCAACGCCGCGUGGAGGAUGAAGGUAUUCUAUAUCGUAAACUCCUGUGAGAGCAGACGAAAGACAGAUUAUUAAUCUGGAUGACUGUAUGCUCAGAGGAAGCCCCGGCUAACUACGUG